AUCUGACCUCAGUAACAGGACUAAGCGGUGGGAGCCAUACCCAGCUUCUUCACAGCAGAUGGGUUUGCGGGCCUGUGCCAGGAGGACUAGCAUGCUGGUGUGCAUUGGGCAUUACGAUGCUGUGCCAGUCACUGUGUUAAGCCAUUUACUCUUCACAAUAGCACUGUGAGCAAAGGAACAGAAGUUUCCAAGUGCCCUCUCUCUCCACAAGAACUGUGGAGCUCGCUGCCUGGAAGACACCUGACACCAUGUAUAGAACUGGCGCAGCUAAGAUGCGGCCUUCAGGCUGCACUGAGAUUCCCUAGCUGUGUCCACGCUAACAGGGAACCAGAGACCAGGCCUUGGGGACCUGUGAACAUCACAUUUAUCAUUUCAACAGGCCCCGGAAGCGCAGGUGACAGAUGGGUCCCAUGUCACUGUUCAGACCACAGCUGUCAAAAUGGCUGUAAGAAAACGUUCCUAAUUGCACUUGAAUCAAGUGAAAUCUAACCAUCUAGCCUCCCACAUGUUUUAAUCUGGUUUGUUCCCUGACAGUAGAAUAUACAAAUAAAGGUCGAUUUCACAGGAGAUGCUUCAAAAAAGAGCAGAACGGGUUGGCGGCGGGAGUGCCUCGGGCGGACGCGGAGUGAAGAUGGCCCGCCGCGGCGAGAGGGGGGGUAGCGGGCGCCCGGUGCGGAGCGAGCUAGACGGGCCCGAACGAGCUGGCUUGGCGGCGGCUGCACGCACUGCUGUGCCUGCACCGCGCGCCGUCCCGUCCGCAGGGCAGCGUGCCCGCUUUGGCGCCUGGUCCUUGGCCUGGAGGCGCCGCUGCCGCGCCACCGCCGCGCCACCGCCGCCGUGGUCCUAGCGCCACUCGGCUUCGUGCGGCGCAAGUCCCUGGCGCCACCCCGCUAGGGCCCGCGCGGGCUCCGCCGGCCUGGCCCGGCUGUGCUGGCGCUCUGAUGGCCGCGCGCUGCGGAAGCUGCCGGUGCACGUGGGGCUGGUGCUGGCCGAGGACAAGCGCAGCCUGCCGGACGUGGCGAGCUUGGUGGUGUGGACCAUGGCGGUGGGCAUCUCGUAUAUCAGCGUGUACGACCACCGAGGUAUUUUCAAAAGAAAUAAUUCCAGACUGAUGGAUGAAAUUUUAAAACAACAGCAGGGACUUCUGAGCCUGGAUUGUUCCAAAUACUCAUCAAAGUUUGCAAAUAGUAAUGACAAAGAUGAUCAAGUUUUAAAUUGCCACUUGGCAGGUAAGGUGCUGUCCCCAGAGGAUGGGAAAGCUGCUCAGGACUUCUGCUGGCUGCUGGCCCGGCAGCAGCACAGGCCCGAGGACCUGGAUGUGGUCAUGUUGGACAGAUUGAUUAUACUGUAUGUUUGUCAAAAUUAAGCUGUAGUCCAUUUCUCGAUCUGCUGUAGUCUAAGAAGAGACUCGAGACAAGUUCACGUAGAGCCUUUCCAGAACUUUCUCACCU